rnacentral:rRNA from 1 species
UACGAGAGGCCCAAACGUUAUUCGGAAUUACUGGGCUUAAGGAGUUCGUAGGCGGCAUUGCAAGUAGGGUGUGAAAGCCCUCGGCUCAACCGAGGAAUUGCGCUCUAAACUGCAGUGCUUGAGGAACCUAGAGGUGAGCAGAACAGAUGGUGGAGCGGUGAAAUGCGUUGAUAUCAUCUGGAAUACCGGAGGCGAAGGCGGUUCACUGGGAGUUUUCUGACGCUGAGGAACGAAAGCCAGGGUAGCGAACGGG